GAUGAACGCUGGCGGCGUGCCUAAUACAUGCAAGUAGAACGCUGAAGGAGGAGCUUGCUCUUCUGGAUGAGUUGCGAACGGGUGAGUAACGCGUAGGUAACCUGCCUGGUAGCGGGGGAUAACUAUUGGAAACGAUAGCUAAUACCGCAUGACAACAGUUAUUGCAUGAUAACUGUUUAAAAGGGGCAACUGCUCCACUACCAGAUGGACCUGCGUUGUAUUAGCUAGUUGGUGAGGUAACGGCUCACCAAGGCGACGAUACAUAGCCGACCUGAGAGGGUGGUCGGCCAAACUGGGAAUGAGACACGGCCCAGACUCCUACGGGAGGCAGCAGUAGGGAAUCUUCGGCAAUGGACGGAAGUCUGACCGAGCAACGCCGCGUGAGUGAAGGAGGUUUUCGGAUCGGAAAGCUCUGUUGUAAGGGAAGAACGAGUGUGAGAGUGGAAAGUUCACACUGUGACGGUAUCUUACCAGAAAGGGACGGCUAACUACGUG
rnacentral:rRNA from 1 species